UGAGUACGAGAUGCUACGGCAUCGAAGCAGUCUAUGUCAUACUUCCAAGAAAAGCUUGCACUGUCAUAAACAAAGAAUGCCUGUACCAUAACCGACACAGGUGGGUAGGUAGAGUAUACUAAGGGGCGCGAGAUAACUCUCUCUAAGGAACUCGGCAAAAUGACUCCGUAACUUCGGGAGAAGGAGUGCCUUAUUUCUAAGGUUGCAAUAACAAGAUCCAAGCAACUGUUUACCAAAAACACAGGUCUCCGCUAAGUCGUAAGACGAUGUAUGGGGGCUGACGCCUGCCCAGUGCCAGAAGGUUAAAGAAGUUGGUUAGCAUUAGCGAAGCUGAUAACUGAAGCCCUGGUGAACGGCGGCCGUAACGAUAACGGUCCUAAGGUAGCGAAAUUCCUUGUCGGGUAAGUUCCGACCCGCACGAAAGGCGUAAUGAUUUGGAUACUGUCUCGGAGAGGGGCUCGGUGAAAUAGACUUGUCUGUGAAGAUGCGGACUACCUGCACCUGGACAGAAAGACCCUAUGAAGCUUUACUGUAACUUGAGAUUGAAAUUGGACUUUAUUUGCGCAGUAUAGGUGGGAGGCGUUGAGAAUAAUCUUGCGGGAUUGUUGGAGCCAUCAGUGAGAUACCACUCUUGUAAUGUUAGAUUUCUAACUUUGUAUCAUUAUCUGGUCAAAGAACAGUUUCAGGCGGGCAGUUUGACUGGGGCGGUCGCCUCCCAAAGGGUAACGGAGGCGCACAAAGGUUUCCUCUGAACGGGUAGAAAUCGUAUCUAGAGUGUAAAGGCAUAAGGAAGCUUGACUGUGAGACCUACAAGUCGAGCAGGGACGAAAGUCGGUCUUAGUGAUCUGACGGUGCUGAGUGGAAAGGCCGUCACUCAACGGAUAAAAGUUACUCUAAGGAUAACAGGCUGAUCUCCCCCAAGAGUUCACAUCGACGGGGAGGUUUGGCACCUCGAUGUCGGCUCAUCGCAUCCUGGGGCGGUAGUCCGUCCCAAGGGUUGGGCUGUUCGCCCAUGAAAGCGGUACGCGAGCUGGGUUCAGAACGUCGUGAGACAGUUCGGUCCAUAUCCGGUGUAGGCGUUAGAAUAUUGAGAGGAGCCUUCUCUAGUACGAGAGGACCGAGAAGGACAUACCUCUGGUGUACCAGUUAUCGUGCCAACGGUAAACGCUGGGUAGCUAUGUAUGGAGUGGAUAACCGCUGAAAGCAUCUAAGUGGGAAGCCCACCUCAAGAUAAGUAUUCUCAUC
rnacentral:rRNA from 1 species